GGCUGAGCCAUCACCCAGCACCAGGUUCCGGUGAGGACCAUAGCAACUCCUGUCCGCACUUUGCAUACUUACAUUAGUUUCCUGAAGAAUUCUCCCAUUGUGCCUUGCCCGACAUCUGAGAGCAGUGAGUGGUCUGCCUGGCAUUGAAAAGGAAAAAGUUUCUGGAAGACCCACCUGGGGCUAGAAGCCUUGAAGUUGCUGUGGGUCUGGGGCUUGUGAAGGGAAGCCGGAAUGGGGGAGGGCUGCGUGGAGGCAGGGGACUGGCCCUGAAGGCCAGAGACGAUCUCCUGGGCUACAGAUCCCAGGCCCCUGGGGUGGGAUGGUGUGUGUGUUGGGGGCACCUGAGUUGCCCACCUCAGGGGAACUUGGGGGUCCUCCAGGGCCCCAACUGCGAAGCCCCUAUUGCUGUUUUUCCUAAGCCCCCAGGCCUAAAAGCUAGAGUCCCAGGGAGAAUAAAACAGCCUGAGCAAAAAGGCUCCAAGGCAGUUCAAAGACAGAGAGAGACUGAGGAUGAAGUUUUCAAGCCACAUCCAAGGGGAGGGCUUUUCAUCUGCCAGCCUUUGAAUCGGGAAUCAAGGCGGGCAAAGUUACUACCAGGUUAAAGUUUAAAUGGCACAGAAAGGGGAGACAGGAAGAUGAAACGACGGCCGUCUGGCCAGGGGAACAAAGCCGGAGCCCAGCCUGGCCACCUGGCCGCAGAGGCGCUGAGUGGUAGCAGUCCCAGCCAGGAGGGGCUGCGACGCUGCCAUUGUUCAGCUGAAGAACGAAAGUAAUUGAAAGGAAAGGUGAGCCAAGGAGAGGCAGCCGGUGCGUAUGACUGCCUGGAUCGUUAGAAAAUAAUUUAAAGGGAACAGGCCUAUCAAGCAGUUUCUCUUAUGGAAAUGCCAUCAUUGAAGAGAAAGGAAGGGGAGGGUGGGGGAACCUUUCAUUCUUUGGAAAAGAGUGAGUUUUUUUCCCCUCACCAAAUAUAGACUUGAAUAUUAUUUGAAAUCCCGUCAUUUGGCAAACUUGCUUUACUCCCUAACUACCUAGGCUGGGGGCCCUCCACAAAACCUUGAGACUUUGGGAACCCUGAUGUCUGGGGGGAAACGGGGAUGACAUGGCUGCAUAGCCACAGGAUUUUCACUAUGAGACCGGGAAGCUCCCUGCAUCCUCAGGAAGCCCAGCCCUUGUUUAACUUCCUCCCUGGUUCUGCCUGCAAUCCUUACCUCAGAAUCGCCCCAGAGCACUGCUGCUUGACCACCUACCAGCUGUGAUUUCUGGGGUCUUGAAGACACAAAUAGGCCCUGUUCUCUAGCCACUUGGGAGGACAAGUGUCAUCGCAAUCCCUAAGGGAGGACAGAAGUCAUUCACGGCACUCUACAGAAGCCAGAAGAUGUGCUUAUAGGCGGUGUUGGGUGUUGUCUUGAGCCCACAGUGGGCCUAAGCUGUACUGGGGAUGUUCGAUGAAAGCAGAGAGAGAAAUAAAAGAUCAUGCAGGAACUUCCAUGAGGAUAGGAAGACAAGAAAGGUCAACACACAGCACGGCCAACAAGCAAGACAGUCUAAGAAUGAACAUGGUGACUUAAAAGAUGACAUGGGGGCUGCAGGGAGGGAGAAACAAACGGGGAGGGAAGCACAAGUCUUGUGAGUGUCUUUUUGGAGAGACAGGACUGAGAUGGGUCUCCAAGAUAAAUUUAGUUUUGGAUCAGGACAGGAAAAGAGAGAAAGGCCCUGAUCUGAGGGUAAGGACGAGAUGCACAAAGAGCAGCACAUUCUGUAACAUGUCAGUAGUGAGUAGAGCUUGCUCUGAAAUGAUCCUGCAUAAUAUUAAAAUCACCCUUGAUAAAAGAUGUGCAGCCAGUCUGGAAACGCCAACAGUGAUUGAGCAUAUAGGUGAUGGGGUUUGCAUGUUUGUUAAUUUAUCUGUUGUUUUUCUUUUUUAUCUUUCCACUAUGAAUAUGUAGUACUUGUGCAUUUAAAAAAUGUUAUAAAUCUGCAAGUUAACAAAUCUAAUGCAUUUCCCUUCAAUCUCAUCAUCCCAAGACUAGACCUUUUUCGGACAGUGGCUUGAAGACAGACAGGCUCUCCUAAGAGAUGGAAGCCCAGGGUGUUCAGCCCCCACUGUCUAAGGCCCCCCAACUCCAGGAGCCCCAUAUGUUCCUACCAGACCAUAGGCUUAACUGGAUGUAGGCCAGGGGUGGGGGAAUGUGCUCUGCUUGGCAUUGUAAGGUGCCAGGCGCACCUGAGCAGCUGGACAGGUGUGACAGAUGCCCUGGAUUGCAUGGAGCUGGCUGUGCCUGUGCACACACACCCGUCUGCACCCCGUCCUCCCCUCCCUACACCUCCCUGUCUUCCCGGCUAGCUCAGGUGUGGUGCAUCUGUGGCCCAUUGGCAGCUCUCUUGCCCGCAGUGCACAGGGAGCUGUCAGGUUAAAAGCUGGCUUGCUCGAUUUGAUCCCACAUGCGAGCUGUUUUAUUUCCCUCUCUCUCCCUUACACGGCUUCGGUGUGCUUUUAUAAAUAUUUCACUAGCCUUGCUAAAGUCUAUUUCAUCUCUCUCUUAAAUUUAUUAAAUAUAAAUGCAGCAACAACUCUACCAUAAGUCUCUCUUUGCUGUCAAAAUCUCAGGCUCCCAUGGAAGUAAAUAUAAUUUGCUUUGUUUACCGUAGGUAACUUGGAGCCCUAUCUGCUAUCUCAACACCCCCUAAGCACCCCCAAAUCUCCCUGUUUUUGUUAGCAGGGGUCUGUCUCAUCCCAAUGUAGUGCACGGGGACACGGGUCACGCUUUGAAGAGGGCGUGACAAAGGGGCUGUUCUCCGACACUCGCAUGGCAGGGAAUUUCUUGGUCCGCUGGUCCCUCAAUGACACAAUCAAUGAGUAAAGGGGGAUACCUUUACUCAUCACCUCAGACCUGAGCACGCCCUGGGCCCCAUUUGGGCAGAGCUUUGCUCUUUGCUUUUCUUUUAAAGUAAAGGGCCCAUCUGCUGCAGCUAGUGACCUGGCCAAAAAAGACACAGACUGCUGUGAAAUGAUUGAGGGCAGUGACUCCCCUCCCACCCCAGGAGCCAGAGCCGACAGAGCCAAGAGCAAGGCAGGAAUUCAGGUCCCCAAAAGCAAGCCAGAAGCACCACCUCCAAGCGCCCUGCCACUUCCUUUGUUCUUUGUUAAUUGCAAAAUAAACACAACCCUGCCCACCGACUGUGGAGAAAGAUUUCUGCCAACUGGGGGACCCGGCAGGUAGUGGGCAGGCAUUUGCCCUCCAUCAACCACAUGUGAUUUCCUGGAGGAGAAGGGGCAGUAGAGAAGGGGCAGAGUGGCAGGGCUGGGAUGGACCUAGCUUAGGGCUUGUAGGUCAGGGAAGUGAGGGAAGUGGAUGUCAAGAUGGAAGACACAGGCACGCUUUGUUUGCAUCUGAAAUCAGUGAGAAUAGCUUUCUCUUCCACAAAGAACUGGAUCUCUUUCACCCAGGUGAAAGGUGCUAUUUCUAGCUCUUAUUUCUUAAUGAAAAUGGCCCUCUCAGUCUGUCCUGUUUUUCUCUACUUUUGGUGGUGACAUUGGAGCAGAACGAUGGCAUUUCCGCUUUCUAUAAGAAAGAGGGCCAGGCUUGUCUAAGAACCCCCACCCCUAACUCCUAGCCUGGCAUCUUCCAUUAAACUUGCAGAGAUGAAACAGGUGACUGACAUCUUGGGCUGGGGGGACAGACGUUUAGAAUUAGCUCCUGGAUGCAUCCAGGAAUUCAGAUCUGUGCUAAAACUCUCUAUAGCUCCAGAAGACUGGCUUUUACAGUGGCUGUGCCCUGGAGUCUCAGAGACUGUCCUGCAGAUUCAGGAAGAGAGGUGUUGUACGGACUUGCAGAUUUUCUGUCUCACCGUCCCAUUUAGACACAGGAAGACAAGAGAAAGUUACCUCUAGGAGGUGAAAGGAGUAAGUUUUUUGGGGGGGUCAACUGAAGAUCUGUGUGAGAACCUUUUCCACACUACAACAAUAGACUAAAAAAAAUUGACUCAGCUUACAUAGAAUGCAAUUGUUUUGUACAAUUAUUUUGCUUAAAAAGUGAAAAGGGUUUUAGAAUUGUGGUUUUGAACUUGUUAGUAAUUUUGAUUUUUCAGUUUUAUUCUUGUAUUUUACAGUCACAAUUAUUAUUAUUUUUUUCUUUUUAGAUCUCAAGCAUGUUUAAUGGCCCCCGAAAAGAAUCUAUAGACCCCACACUGUUUAUGGGGUAAAUCAAGCCUCUGGGUCUGGGAUGGAAGAACCAGAGUGUGGGGUUUCAGAGAAGGGUAGUGGGGAAGAAGCCACUUGCUCUGGAGCAAGUGAUCAUUGGGCCUUCCCUGGGAUGGCCCCAGGGAGCACGCCUCUGGCCGACCUCCACCGGCCUGCCAACCCAGGCUGCGGGGGCGGCUGCGAGUCCCCCGAAGGUAAAUGACGCGGCAUCAGCGGGGUCCCUGUGUCAACUGCAUGAUGGCUUUCAGGCCUGGGGCUGGUGGCUUCCUGUCUCACCGCUGAGAGCGAGGCUAUUUCAGGAUCUCGCUGCUUCCGUCUGUUCCGGGGAGGGCAGGAUGGAGGGCGGGCAGUGGAGAGGAGGCGGAGGCCCGGGUCUACAUCUACCAGGUGUUUCAGAGGCAAACUUUCUUUUUCCUCCUGUUUCUGCUGCCCACUGCUGGUGGAAUGGGUUUGUCAAGUUGGCAUUACUUUC
rnacentral:lncRNA from 1 species